CACAGGGGAGCUUGCUCCCCGGGUGACGAGCGGCGGACGGGUGAGUAAUGUCUGGGAAACUGCCUGAUGGAGGGGGAUAACUACUGGAAACGGUAGCUAAUACCGCAUAACGUCGCAAGACCAGAGAGGGGGACCUUCGGGCCUCUUGCCAUCAGAUGUGCCCAGAUGGGAUUAGCUAGUAGGUGGGGUAAUGGCUCACCUAGGCGACGAUCCCUAGCUGGUCUGAGAGGAUGACCAGCCACACUGGAACUGAGACACGGUCCAGACUCCUACGGGAGGCAGCAGUGGGGAAUAUUGCACAAUGGGCGCAAGCCUGAUGCAGCCAUGCCGCGUGUGUGAAGAAGGCCUUCGGAUUGUAAAGCACUUUCAGCGAGGAGGAAGGUGGUGAACUUAAUACGCUCAUCAAUUGACGUUACUCGCAGAAGAAGCACCGGCUAACUCCGUGCCAGCAGCCGCGGUAAUACGGAGGGUGCAAGCGUUAAUCGGAAUUACUGGGCGUAAAGCGCACGCAGGCGGUUUGUUAAGUCAGAUGUGAAAUCCCCGGGCUCAACCUGGGAACUGCAUUUGAAACUGGCAAGCUAGAGUCUCGUAGAGGGGGGUAGAAUUCCAGGUGUAGCGGUGAAAUGCGUAGAGAUCUGGAGGAAUACCGGUGGCGAAGGCGGCCCCCUGGACGAAGACUGACGCUCAGGUGGCGAAGCGUGGGGAGCAAACAGGAUUAGAUACCCU
rnacentral:rRNA from 1 species